rnacentral:rRNA from 1 species
GACGAACGCUGGCGGCGUGCCUAAUACAUGCAAGUCGAACGAGAGCGACCGGUGCUUGCACUGGUCAAUCUAGUGGCGCACGGGUGAGUAACACGUGGGUAACCUGCCCAUCAGAGGGGGAUAACAUCCGGAAACGGAUGCUAAAACCGCAUAGGUCUUCGAACCGCAUGGUUUGAAGAGGAAAAGAGGCGCAAGCUUCUGCUGAUGGAUGGACCCGCGGUGCAUUAGCUAGUUGGUGAGGUAACGGCUCACCAAGGCCGUGAUGCAUAGCCGACGUGAGAGGGUGAUCGGCCACAUUGGAACUGAGACACGGCCCAAACUCCUGCGGGAGGCAGCAGUAGGGAAUCUUCCGCAAUGGACGCAAGUCUGACGGAGCAACGCCGCGUGAGUGAAGAAGGUUUUCGGAUCGUAAAACUCUGUUGUUAGAGAAGAACAAGUGCUAGAGUAACUGUUAGCGCCUUGACGGUAUCUAACCAGAAAGCCACGGCUAACUACGUG